UUUUUUUUUUUGGUUCAUUUUCUCUAAAUAGCUUAUUCCUGAAAAGUGGUAUGGAUAUUGUACAUGUAUUGGCAAUUUACUGGUAUAGCUCUGGAUUUUCAUGGCAUUUACAGGUUGAGUGGGGUGUGAAGUGGUAUUUGUAGUUCACUUUUUUUUUGUGUUUCAACAGAUGGAAAUUUUGUAUUAGAUUUUGGAUUAUAACUUUUUGGGGUUCAUCUUGAUGGAGGUUUUGAUAUAAAAUUUUUGGCAG
rnacentral:misc_RNA from 1 species